rnacentral:lncRNA from 1 species
GUGAUGCUGGGGGCUGGGGAAAGGGACAUGUGUUCCCUAAUGCCAGGCUAUCUCACUAUCCAAGAUUUCUUUGCUUUCCAGUGCUGACCACUUACGGUAGGCGGACAUGACUGACUCAACCAGCUGGCUUGAGUCUGUGUCCAUUUACACGUGUCCAAUAUGUAUUUCUCCAGAGCUGUUCUUGUGUGUCUCAUUUUCAAGCAGAAUUCCUGCCAUGAUUCAGCUCUGCAGCUCACUUCGUCUUCCAUAAGGUAGCUGGAAAAAUACAUGCAGAUGAUAACGCUGCAGAGGAAUGAGUUAGCAUCUGGACAUUUAAAAAUAUAAUUGUUUGAAGGAGCAUGAUUUGAGGGGACUCAAGUUUCCCCAACAGUUUUAAUUUUACCUAUUUUCUUUCAUAGAUAAAUUAUUUUACCACCUUGGCCAGUGUAUUACAAGGCUUGGUCACAGAAGAGUAAGAUCAUGACAGCUAUGAAAUACUGUAUUAGUUGAGAGAGAAAAUGUAAAAUGGGACAGUCAAGGAAACAGAAGCAAAGACUAUUGAAGGCUCACCAAGAAAUGUGCAUAUUUCCUAACACACAGCAUCUGUGAAUUUGUCUUUUACCAUCUCCACUGAAAAAUGUUUUGAACAGUUGAUGGUGAAAACUUGUAAGGACUUAGAGAGCAUAUGCAGGUGGUUCAAUGGCUAAAUUGUUUGAUUACUUUUAAUAAAAUUGGCUGCCUUCCAUUAAUUUAUUGCAUGUUGUCCCCAGAUGCCUGCAAUAAAAAUACUGACAUAAUAACUUAAACUGCUGAUUGUCUCCGUUAAAUUUGAUAAUUAUGUAUAAGAGGGGAUAAGAGGAGAACUGGCUGGAAAGAUCCAGUCGUUUCAGUUUUCUUUUGCUCAGCAGGAUUAGCAUUUAAUGGGGAAAAUCUUGAAAAAUGCAUUUCAUGAGGGUGUCUUUCAUACCAAAAGAAUUGUGCAGCCACAAUAUGUGGUUACAAUAUGUGUUACAAAGCUCGUAAAAGAAAUCAGCCAGCUGAUCAUAAAAUCUUCUUCAUAAAGAUCGGAAGAUCAAACAGAUCAGAAUGUUUCCAUCAAAUUUUGCCCUAUAUAUUUUCUUGAUAUGGAUCCUGGAGUAGUCAUUAAUAUUACAGAUUUAUGUAAAGCCUCCCCAUACUUAGAUGACAUCUAUGAGCAUUCUCCUCAGGGGAACACAUGGGUCCAUGAAACAUUCACACCUGUUUUUGAGCCUAUCUUUGGACCUCAGGGGUUUGGGGACAACAGGUUGGAAAUAUUUAUUAUUGAACAAUAUCUGAAAUAUUCCCUUUUGAACUCAUAAAAUAACAACUUCACCAUUAUCCUCACUAAAUCCUCUUCCCUCCCCCUCCCAGCAACGGAUCUAUUCUUUCUGUUUAUUGAAUUUCAGAGCACUAAAGAAAUGUGUUCAGACAUCUGAGAGAUUUUAAAGUCUAAGAAUCCUCAAAUAAUCACAUAGAUCUUAGCUCUUCCUUAAGUAUCAUUAAGCUGAAUUUGUUUCUGAUUUGUUUCAGAUUCAUGCCUCAGAAGUCCACAGGUGUUAAAUUCUGUGGCAUCUGAUCCACGGUUAACAUCUGGCAGCAUGAUCCUUGAGGUCAAAAGUCCUGAAUACUUAUCCAAAUUCUCAGAUCCAAAAUAAGCCAGCACUCUUUCUGUUACGGUAAUAUAAAUUUUAUAUUUUGGAACCUGGAAGUCAAAAACUGUUAAAGGAAUUAGGUAAUCUGGUUUGAAAGUUUUGUUGGAGUGUAAGUGACACACAGUACAUGCACGUAUUAAAGAGCACAUCUUGAGGUUUUCUCAGGUACACGCAUUAAACCAUAGCCAAAGUCAAGAUGACAAACACAUUGCUUUCCCCGCUCAGUGUUCCCAUGCACCUUUGUGAUAUCUCCUCUGGACACUUUCCAUCAUCCUCAGCCAGUCGCUGAUUGGGUCUUUAUUCUUCAAGACAAGUCGGUAAUUUCUAGAAUUUUUAAUAAAUGAAAUCAUAGUGCAUGUAUUCUUUCUUCAUUUGUUUUGUCAUUCAGCAAAGUUACUUUAGGACUGACUCAUGUUUUUAUAUGUAUCACUGGUUCCUUUCUUUUUUAUUUUUGUAUAGUAUUAGAUUACAUGGAUAUACCACGAUGUAUGUAUCUAUUCACCACAACGCAAAGAAUGUAGGGAUCCCCUAGAAUCUGGAAAAGAAGAGAAUGGAUUCUUCUUUGGAGCCAUCAGAAGAAAUACAGCCUUGUCAGCUGUUUUAAACCUCUGACCUCCAGAACUAGAAGAUAAUAUGUUACGUUGUUUUAAACAGUCAGUACAUUUGUGGUAUUUGUUAUGGUAGCCAAAAGAAAUUAAUACGGUGCCCUUUAUCAGGUUGAAAAAGUUUCUUUAUAUUUCUAGUGUGCUGACAACUUCUUUUGGCUUUUUAGCGCCUCACCUGCAGCAUAUGGAGGUUCCCAGGCUAGUGGUCCAAUCGGAGCUGCAGCUGCAGGCCUAUGCCACGACCACAGCAAUACGGGAUCCAAGCUACAUCUGUGACCAACACUGCUCACAGCAACACUGGAUUCUUAACCCACAGAGCAAGGCCAGGGAUUGAACCCACAUCCUCAUGGAUACUAGUUGGGUUUGUUAAACACUGAGCCACAGUGGGAAAUCCUGCUAACAACUUUUGUGAAAGAAUUGGCAUGAAAUUUUAUCAAAUGUUUUGUUUACAUCUGUGGAGAUGAUUAUACGAUUUUUUUUUUUCUGUCUAUAUGAUGAAGUGUGCUAGAAGAUUAGCCCUGUUUGGCCAUGGUAUAUUAUCCUUUUUAUUUAUUUUAUGGUUUAUUUGUUAAAAUUUUAUUAAGAAUGGGAGGAUAGUGGUUUGAUGCUUUUUUUAUUUUACUUUUUAUUAAAGUACAGUCAAUUUACAAUAUUUCACAUGUAGAGAAAUAGAUUCCAUCUAUUCUCUUUUUCAGAUUCUUUCCCAUUACAGGUUAUUAUAAGAUAUUGACUACAAUUUUCUGUGCUAAUAUAGUGGGUUCUUGUUAUUUAUCUAUUUGAUAUGUAGUAGUGUGUAUCUGUUUAUCCCAAAUCCCUAAUUAUCUCUCCCACCCUUUCCCCUCUGGUAGCCAUAAAUUUGAUUUCUAUGUCUGUGAGUUUAUUUCUGUUUUGUAAAUAAGUUCAUUUGUGUAAUUUUUUAGAUUCCACAUAUCUGUGAUCUCAGGUGGUAAUUGUCUUUUCUCUGUCUGACUUACCUCACUUAGCAUGAUAAUCUCUGGGUCUAUCCAUGUUGCUGUAAAUGGUAUUAUUUCAUUUUUUAUGGCUGAGUAGUAUUUCAUUGUAUAUAUUUACCAUGCCUUUAUCCAUUCAUUUGUUGAUGGACAUUUGUGUUACUUCCGUGUCGUGGCUUUUGUAAAUAGUAAUGCUAAAACCUUGACGUACAUCAAUCUUAUCAAAUUGGAAUUUUCAUCUUCUCUGUAUAUAUGCCCAGGAGUAGGAUUGCUGGAUUAUAUGAUAACUGUUUUUCAGUUCUUUAAGGAGCCUCCAUACUGUUCUUCAUAGUAGUUAAACCAAUUUACAUUCCCACCAACCAUGUAGGAGGGUUUCCUUUUCUCCACAUCUUGUCCAGCAUUUAUUAUUGGUAGACUUUUUGAUGAUGAGCAUUCUGAUUGGUAGGUAUUGUUUUCUACUAAUGUUUUCAGUUGUAAUAUCAGAUUUCCUUAUUCAUUUUUCUGUAUGAGUGUAUGUAGACUCAGAAUUACUUCUUCCUAAAUGAUUGGUAGAAUUCACCAGCCAAACUGUUUGGGCCUAGAGUUUUCUAUGUGAGAAUUUCAAAAACUACAAGUUCAAUUUCUUUAGUAGAUAUAUUGUUAUUCCCAUUAAAUAUUACCUUUUG